GGGAAUGAUGAUUUCUCAGACUAGAGUCUCUGAUACUGGUUUUGAUGUCAAAAUUGAUUUCUGACUC
rnacentral:snoRNA from 8 species